rnacentral:rRNA from 1 species
UCAGGAUGAACGCUAGCGGCAGGCUAACACAUGCAAGUCAGGGGCAUCGGGAGUAGCAAUACUGCCGGCGACCGGCGCAAGGGUGCGUAACGCGUGAGCAACAUGCCCGUAUCAGGGGGAUAAUCCAUGGAAACGUGGUCUAAUACCCCAUAGUAAUUAUGUAAGGCAUCUUAUAUAAUUUAAAGCUUUGGUGGAUACGGAUUGGCUCGCGUGACAUUAGCUGGAUGGUAAGGUAACGGCUUACCAUGGCUACGAUGUCUAGGGGUUCUGAGAGGAAGGUCCCCCCACACUGGAACUGAGACACGGUCCAGACUCCUACGGGAGGCAGCAGUGAGGAAUAUUGGACAAUGGAUGGAAAUCUGAUCCAGCCAUGCCGCGUGCAGGGAAAGACGGCCCUAUGGGUUGUAAACUGCUUUUGUAUGGGAGCAAUAAGGGCUACGUGUAGUCCGAUGAGAGUACCAUACGAAUAAGCACCGGCUAACUCCGUGCCAGCCGCUGC